rnacentral:rRNA from 1 species
AGUCGAGCGGUAAGGCCCUUCGGGGUACACGAGCGGCGAACGGGUGAGUAACACGUGGGUGAUCUGCCUUGCACUUCGGGAUAAGCCUGGGAAACUGGGUCUAAUACCGGAUAUGACCCCGAAUCGCAUGGUUUGGGGUGGAAAGAUUUAUCGGUGCGAGAUGGGCCCGCGGCCUAUCAGCUUGUUGGUGAGGUAACGGCUCACCAAGGCGACGACGGGUAGCCGACCUGAGAGGGUGACCGGCCACACUGGGACUGAGACACGGCCCAGACUCCUACGGGAGGCAGCAGUGGGGAAUAUUGCACAAUGGGCGCAAGCCUGAUGCAGCGACGCCGCGUGCGGGAUGACGGCCUUCGGGUUGUAAACCGCUUUUGACAGGGACGAAGCGCAAGUGACUGUACCUGUAGAAUAAGGACCGGCCAACUACGUGCCAGCAGCCGCGGUAAUACGUAGGGUCCGAGCGUUGUCCGGAAUUACUGGGCGUAAAGAGCUUGUAGGCGGUUCGUCGCGUCGUUUGUGAAAACUUGGGGCUCAACCUUAAGCUUGCAGGCGAUACGGGCGGACUAGAGUACUUCAGGGGAGACUGGAAUUCCUGGUGUAGCGGUGAAAUGCGCAGAUAUCAGGAGGAACACCGGUGGCGAAGGCGGGUCUCUGGGAAGUAACUGACGCUGAGAAGCGAAAGCAUGGGUAGCAAACAGGAUUAGAUACCCUGGUAGUCCAUGCCGUAAACGGUGGGUACUAGGUGUGGGGCUCCUUCCACGGACUCCGUGCCGUAGCUAACGCAUUAAGUACCCCGCCUGGGGAGUACGGCCGCAAGGCUAAAACUCAAAGAAAUUGACGGGGGCCCGCACAAGCGGCGGAGCAUGUGGAUUAAUUCGAUGCAACGCGAAGAACCUUACCUGGGUUUGACAUACACCGGAAACCUGCAGAGAUGUAGGCCCCCUUGUGGUCGGUGUACAGGUGGUGCAUGGCUGUCGUCAGCUCGUGUCGUGAGAUGUUGGGUUAAGUCCCGCAACGAGCGCAACCCUUAUCUUAUGUUGCCAGCGCGUAAUGGCGGGGACUCGUGAGAGACUGCCGGGGUCAACUCGGAGGAAGGUGGGGACGACGUCAAGUCAUCAUGCCCCUUAUGUCCAGGGCUUCACACAUGCUACAAUGGCCGGUACAGAGGGCUGCGAUACCGCGAGGUGGAGCGAAUCCCUUAAAGCCGGUCUCAGUUCGGAUCGGGGUCUGCAACUCGACCCCGUGAAGUUGGAGUCGCUAGUAAUCGCAGAUCAGCAACGCUGCGGUGAAUACGUUCCCGGGCCUUGUACACACCGCCCGUCACGUCAUGAAAGUCGGUAACACCCGAAGCCGGUGGCCUAACCCCUUGUGGAGG